CUGCAGCUAAUACCGGAUACGCCCUACGGGGGAAAGAUUUAUCUGCAGAGAGAGGGGCCCGCGUCCGAUUAGGUAGUUGGUGGGGUAAAGGCCUACCAAGCCGACGAUCGGUAGCUGGUCUGAGAGGAUGAUCAGCCACACUGGGACUGAGACACGGCCCAGACUCCUACGGGAGGCAGCAGAGGGGAAUAUUGGACAAUGGGCGCAAGCCUGAUCCAGCAAUGCCGCGUGAAUGAUGAAGGCCUUAGGGUUGUAAAGUUCUUUCGGCGGGGACGAUGAUGACGGUACCCGCAGAAGAAGCCCCGGCUAACUUCGUGCCAGCAGCCGCGGUAAUACAAAGGGGGCUAGCGUUGUUCGGAAUUACUGGGCGUAAAAGGGCGCGUAGGCGGCCAAUCAAGUUAGGCGUGAAAGCCCCGGGCUCAACCUGCGAAUUGCGCUUGAUACUGUAU
rnacentral:rRNA from 1 species